CCCGCCCGGAGGGCCGACCGCCUGUGCUCGGGGCACUGAGGAAGGAGAGUCCCGGACUGGAGGAGGACGGUGCGAGAUCGGGGGAAGCAGCCAGGACCAAGCUGAAAUUUUUGUCUGUAGAAGGAACCCAAGGAGAAAGGCACGGGACCUGAGAUAGAAGCAGAGAGGAGCACAGUCCUCGGGAAUACUUUUGACCAGCAGGGAUGUGACAGCCACCUGAGAUGAAGAGGAAGUGAAAGUUAAAAGGGACAAACUCUUGAGAGUGAAUUCUCGUUCUACCCCAUAACUGAUGACUUCUGACCUAAAACUCUGCUCUUGUUCUUUAUUGCUUCUUCUAAAUUUCAGAAAUGAACUUUCUGCAAAGCCAUUUUCUCCUAGUUAAAACCAUCCAGUGCUGAGUGUCCAUCACCCAGGAUGGUGAAGAUCUGCCUAGAUAUGCCCCCUUCUCCUGACCGUAAGUGGCGUCGGUCACCAAGCCACUGUGCGCGUGGAACUAGGGAGGAAGUGAAGCCAGGGAGGCCUCGAGGCCUUCUUAGGGCUGCGCUAGCCUGCCUUUCCUCCGACCUGCUCCUUCCCCAGCCAAGGAUGCAUCGAAACUAUGGCUCAGCCUGCUUCCUUUCUCAGAAGUCAGCGUUAUCUACCUACUGUCUCCCCAAAGUGUUGCUCUACACAUCCAGUCCUGAUCCUUGGAUUGCUUUUUGUCCUGAAUGUCCUUUGAAUGUCCUCAACAAUUAAUGACAAAUAUUUGUUAUGCAGCAUUUGUUUCCGUGCUCUGUAUCAUUUACUGUCUACGAAAUCCAAGGAAGCCAUUGCUAUUAUUCCCGUUUACAAGUCAGGAAACCAGGGUCUGGGAAUGUAGUUCAAUGGUGGAGUGUAUGCUUGGCACUAAGGAGAUCCUGAGUUUGAUCCCCAGCACCCUAAAAAAAGAAAAUUCCCAAGACAUCAGGAAGUCAAGAAACUUAAACUAAUGAAUUUCUCCCAAAUCCGAACUGCAAAAAAGUUGGGACUGCAGGGAAAAGAGUAAGACGACAGGAAAAAAAAGAAAAGAAAGAAAAUGUCGUUAACAUUCCAUGCUACACUGCUUCCCAAACACACUCACCACCGAGAUUCUGUUCAUCCGAGUGCAACGAAGGCAUCUGAAUACCAGAAGCGUGUGAUGUGGAGAUGGAGAGGGAACAGGACGCCUAUGAAAACAUGGUACCUUCUGUUCCAAAAUUAAGGAUUUUAAGACUGUGACAGCCCAACAUUAAACCAAGCAUGAGAUGCUCCUGAACACAGGGAACAAGUUACAGGAUGCUGGAGGGAGAGAGCUGUUUCUAUGAAUAAGGGACUUUCAGUCAGGCACAGUGGUGCACACCUGUAAUCCCAGCAUUCGGGAGGCCGAAGCAGGAAGAUAGCCACAACUUCAAGGCCAGCCUGGGCUACAUAGCAAGACCCUAUCUAAAAAGAAAAAAAUGGCACAGUGCUUGGAAAGGCUGCUUGGCAUGAAAGCUGAAAGGAUUCCUUUGGGCUUGUCUGGCAGAAUGGCGGACCAUGACAUGUGACCUAGGAGAGUCCUUCCCAGAGGAGCUGCAGGAAGACAUUGAUCUCUUUCACCAGGAGCUGGUGGGGCCUGGGACUAUUGCCAAUAAGUAACACCAUGAAACAGGAUUCUCCAAGGUAACCAGAUCUCUAUCACUAUCCAAGUUAUUGUGGGAUUGUCCUUCAUAUUAUGUUUAAGGACAGAGAAGUCCUAGAGACUUUGAUGAGUAACUCAGCAUUCAAAAUCUAAUGAAGUCUAUAGCCAGAAAGUUGUUACCUAAGCCUGAGGUGAAUGGAAAGAUUACAGGCAACAAGCCUUGAAUAUUUAGUCAUAAGUCAUUGCAAGUAAACAACAUCCUGUAAAUAUGUAAAACAGCCAACAAAUAAAUGCACCAUA